UUUUCCAAAAACAUAUUUAAUAGAAUUAAUUAUUAAUAAUACCUGCUCAAUGAUUUUUAAAUAGCCGCAGUUCAUACUGUGCUAAGGUAGCAUAAUCAUUUGUCUUUUAAUUAAAGACUAGAAUGAAUGGUUCAAUAUUUAAUUUAUUAUUUCUAAAAUUUAAAUAUAAUUUAUUUUAAAUGUAAAAAAACAUUUAUUAAUCAGAAAGACAACAAGACCCUAUUAAACUUUACUAAAGUUUAACUGGGGAAGUUAAUUAAUAAUUAUUUUAAAUUCCUUUUUAAAAAUGACCUAAUCUAAUUCAUUAAAUGAUCAAGUUACUAUAGGGAUAACAGCAUAAUUAUUUUUAAUAGUUCUUAUAUAAAAAAUAGAUUAUGACCUCGAUGUUGAAUUAAUAUAUCUAUUAAGAGUAGUAUCUUAAUAAGAAAGUCUGUUCGACUUUUAAAUUAUUACAUGAUCUGAG
rnacentral:rRNA from 1 species